CAAAAUUUUUACUAAUUUUAUCCAGGUUUUCGGCUACUGAACAGUAAUUUAGUAGGUAAAAGGAGGAGAAACUUUCUUGUCAUUCAGUUUUUAUCCUGUCGUUACACAAAAUGUUUUCUCGUAGUCUUAGAGUUUCAAGUUCUCUUCAAGGAAAUUUGAGGAAUUUCGGUACAACUAAACAGUGCAAUGUAAAAGUAGCAGUUGCUGGAGCUAGC